AUAUAAUAUCAGACAUAACUUAAAAGUCUUCUGACUUCGGAUUAUAGCCGUAACUGAUGUCUUAAAAUUAGCCUCUGUCUCUUUAAGAAUCUCCUACCCUUUCCGACACUCCCUCUCAGGCACGUCAUCACAACAAGGCUUCUUUCCGUCGGCCAUUGCUGCCGUUUACCUGCUCAGUAGAGGUGCGUUCAGUUCCACCAGGUGUUUGCUAGUUCCUGCUAGCUAGCGAGGUGGAGUUGUGUGGGGGAGAUGCUCCAAAAUGGCCGCCACACGAGAUUCAAGGAUUCCUCAAACGCGCACAAAUGAGUCACAGCAGCACUCUAGAAACGAGGCCAUUAUUUGGUCUGCUUGCCACUGGUCUACAGACAUCCCAGAGAUCGUCACAAGCAUCACACAGAUGUGAGGCACUACGAAAAGAUGGGAAACAAGCUGGGUCCCUGUUCUCGAGAGUUCCUGGGGGAGCGCAGGACUAGAGGGAGGCGACGCAGCCAAGAUUCCAUAAUCCCAUUCAUGAGGUCAGACACUAAUGUUGGACAAGAAGGACAGUUUUAUCUCUAGUUCAUCUCAAAGGUACUUCAGGAUCAAGCAGACAUAUUAGGACUGGAAGGGCAUAUUAACCAAACUGUUUCCAGAAAGCUGGGAGCAUGAAAUUGCCCCUGACAUGUCGUCAUGCUGAAGCAGUAUUUAAGAGCUCCUUUCACUGGAACAAACUGCUGUUCUGCACCACAUGUUAAAAUAUACAUAGUAAAACUAC